UACUUUUUAAUGAUGUUAAGAAAUCAUCACUAUCAGACACAAAAUAUAAAUCCUCUUUUGCAACUGAGAGCUCAUUGUUCAGUGUGAGUUUUGAUACAUACAAGAAGGAAUUUA
rnacentral:snoRNA from 1 species